UACGUAGGGUGUAAGCGUUGUCCGGAAUUAUUGGGCGUAAAGAGCUCGUAGGCGGUUUGUCGCGUCUGCUGUGAAAACUCGGGGCUUAACCCCGGGCCUGCAGUGGGUACGGGCAGACUAGAGUGCGGUAGGGGAGACUGGAAUUCCUGGUGUAGCGGUGAAAUGCGCAGAUAUCAGGAGGAACACCGGUGGCGAAGGCGGGUCUCUGGGCCGUAACUGACGCUGAGGAGCGAAAGCGUGGGGAGCGAACAGG
rnacentral:rRNA from 1 species